rnacentral:rRNA from 1 species
UUGGAGGGCAAGUCUGGUGCCAGCAGCCGCGGUAAUUCCAGCUCCAAUAGCGUAUAUUAAGGUUGUUGCAGUUAAAAAGCUCGUAGUUGAAUUUCGGAGAUUGUCGGUUGGUCGGGCUUCACUGUCCGCACUGACCUGAUGGAUUCCUACCUUCUGAAUAACCAGCAUGCUAUUAAGUUAGUGCGUUGGGGAAGCAGAGCUAUUACCUUGAAAAAAUUAGAGUGCUUAAAGCAGGCUUAUGCUUGAAUAGAUUAGCAUGGAAUAAUAAAAUAGGACGGCAUGGUUCUAUUUUGUUGGUUUCUAGGAUCACCGUAAUGAUUAAUAGGGAUAGUUGGGGGCAUUAGUAUUCAAUUGUCAGAGGUGAAAUUCUUGGAUUUAUUGAAGACUAACUUCUGCGAAAGCAUUUGCCAAGGAUGUUUUCAUUAAUCAAGAACGAAAGUUAGGGGAUCGAAGACGAUCAGAUACCGUCGUAGUCUUAACCAUAAACUAUGCCGACUAGGGAUCGGACGAUGUUAAUUUUUUAAUGACUCGUUCGGCGCCUUACGGGAAAC